rnacentral:rRNA from 1 species
GAUGAACGCUAGCUACAGGCUUAACACAUGCAAGUCGUGGGGCAGCAUGUUGUGUGCUUGCACACAAUGAUGGCGACCGGCGCACGGGUGAGUAACGCGUAUCCAACCUCGGCCCCCAGUAGGGGAUAGCCCGGCGAAAGUCGGAUUAAUACCCUAUGUUUUCCUUUGAUAGCAUUUGAUGAGGAACAAAGAUUUAUCGCUAGGGGAUGGGGAUGCGUCUGAUUAGGUAGUCGGCGGGGUAACGGCCCACCGAGCCAUCGAUCAGUAGGGGUUCUGAGAGGAAGGUCCCCCACAUUGGAACUGAGACACGGUCCAAACUCC